CGGGCGCGGGAGGCGGCCACCGCAGGGCUCACGGACACGCCGACGCCGCGCCCUUCGGCCCCAUCUGUGGCACCAACAACCACACGUACGAGACCUGGUGCCACAUGCUCAAGGACGCCUGCGCCACGGGCUUCGUCAUUGAGACCCAGUUCGCAGGGCACUGCAAGGCAGCCAGCGGAGCUGCUGUUGCCAACACUGUACUAGAUAGCGACACCACAGCAAACAGGUACUUAUGAGGACGAUGACUUCAUUGUAGAAAGUUUAGGCUCAUGCAGCCUGCUGCCUGUGAUGUGAAAUUUAGCCCAUUCUUAUAGACUGUAGGUCACUCUUCACUUCAGAUCCAACACCCCAUUCUGUUCAGUUUUAUAGAUAUUUGCAGUCAUCUGUGUCUCCCAUUAACAGUUCAUGGGAAUAAUGUAUUUAUGGUGUUUGAACUAAAAUUAUCACACAGUACAGGAGUAUUGUAAAUGUAUUUAUAGAAUGACUCAUAGAGUAACAUAAUUAACCCAUGUAUGUAUUGCUGUACAUAAUUUCUAUAUAUUAUGCAAAUGUAUUGUUUAUAGUUAAUGUUGUAUUAGAAUAUUUAUCUUCAUGCUAUUAUGAAGUGGUAACAGUAUAUGUGUUACAGAGCUCUUUUGAGUAGUUGUGUGUUGCAAGAUAUGUAUUUCAAGACAUUUAAGUGCAUACAGACAGCUCAGAAAGAAGAGUAAUGGUGAGAGAGGUGAGAAGGGAUCUCAGGUAGUAGCCCCCAUGGCAUGCUGAUAGGGUCACACAAAGUUUUGUGUAACCUUAUUGAUCUGUUGCUGACAUGGCAUGAGGGGCCUGAAUGUAACCACAGUGUUUGACCAUAUGACCAGUAUCAUGCAAAAAUUUCCUUAGUUAGUUAAUGCUUAUAAUAAAACUGUAGAUCUUUUGUUCAAAUAACUUCCAGAAGACAAUGAAAGGACUAGACAAAUUAUAUGUGCUAACAACAUGGUUUACUUUAUAAGGUCCAUAGUUUACUUGAUUCCUUAUAAAUCUUAACUGUCUGAAAUGUUUAAAAAAAGUCUCCAAAACCAAAGACACAAAAAUUUCAGAAUCGCAUAAUCUAUCAACCAAAUUUGAAUUAAUGUGUAAUUAAAUUCUUUGGUACUUCACAUAGCACAAGUUUUCAGCAUCUCCUCUGCAGAUACUGCAAUUUCUCCAUACCUGGCACUUUGACAAAAUUUGAAAUGUGAAUCACAUCACAGUAUACCAGAAAUUAUUCAAGAGAGCCAUAGUGUUGUGCAAUAUCCUAUCAGGCACUGAUGUACAAGUUUGAUGUGAUUAUUUGCAAAAGACAUACUGUAUUUUUUUUUAGUCCAGGCACUGGAAAUAGUUAAACUGAAAAUUAACAAAGACAGGUGUAAAUAUGGAUGAAAAUAAAUAUACACCACAAAUAAUAAGAGCCAAAUAAGAUGUUUCAUAAAAGUUUGAGACAAUGCCAAAUACAGCAAUAUUCUGAUUGCUUCUGCUACUGGUAUUGAUUAAUGGGUGGAUAAAGCAAGCAAUAUAUUAUUAAAAUUAUGGUAGACUUUAUAAAACAUGUAUAAUUAAUGUCACAUUCAGAAAGAAUGCAACUGGUCAAAUUGACUCAAAGGAUUGUGAUACUUUAUUUGUAUUCCAGUUGUACAGCUUGUGUUUAAGAGGAAAAUACAUGCAAUAACCAGCAUUUGAAUCAGAAGCAAAAGUGGACAUUACAGCUACCAUAACAAGCAACUCGAUUAUUUAAGUGUGAUAAUUCUUAUACAUUGGAACAAGACAGAUAGGGUAAGACACCUCUGAUGUUGGUGGUUGUAAAACGAUUAGAGUCUAGAGAUCCCGAAGUCCUAUAGCAGUGAUUUUUCUUUUUUCAAAGAGAAAUCAUACCUUCAUGGAUCUCCAUUAUUGGAUGUCAUGAAUUACAGAAAUUUAUUUGUAACAUAGAACUGCAUAUACUUCAUAAACCAGCUUGUUGAGAACCACUUGGGCAAUUACAUGACUCGUAAAGUUAUGCAGUACCAGAAAAAAACUGUAUUUAGUUCAUAUAUACCUUAAUGAGUUAGUUCUUGUGUUAUAUUGUAAAUAUAGUUUUAGGAACUGUAAUUUUGUCUUAUUGUUAACUGUAUCUGAAUCAAUCAAAGUGGGUCUGAUUAUGAUUUUAAUGCAGCUGUACUGAAAAAAAUCUGAAAAAACUGUUUUAUGUCUUAAAUAUGUAAUUUUCAGUUUUGUAUAUGUAUAGUUUCUCUAAAGAAAGCUGCAGCAUUCAAUUUUAUGAAAGCUUACUCAAACUGAAGUCUGUGUAAUUACUCAUGAAAUUGAAUAACCUCCUCAUCGUCAGUGGGAAGUCCACACUGUAUGUUGGAUAACUAAUUUAGAGGAGGCAAUGCUAUGGUUUUCCUUAGACAUGGGAAAGAACUGCUGCAGAUGAUAAAUUAAACUAAUGACUGAAAUAUCUUCAGAAACUGUGUGCAUGAGUCAGUUUUACAGAACCAAAUAAGAAUGAGAUCUAUUAUUAUUUAAUGUUUCUUCAGUAUUGUUUUAUUAUGAAAUCACAGUCCCAUGUCAGUGAAAGUUAUAACACUGAAUACAAAAACAUGUGAUUGAAAUAUUACAAAAGUAGAAUAUUAGUAAACAUGAUCUCAUAUGCAGGCAAAAGGAGUAGCCUGAUGCUUUAACAAACGUUGAGAAUUUGUCAUGUAUUUUUUACAGAUUAAUGUAUAAUAUUUAGAUUAAGACUUUAUUCCUACACAGUCAUAUUCAUGCAAAUAAAAUAUAAAUGAAAAAAUA
rnacentral:lncRNA from 1 species